GGGAGGGACUGCCUGUUGCUCAGGGGCCUGUCCUGGUCCCCGGCUGCCAGGGACCCUGCAAAGUGCCACUCCACCUUGCCUACGUGACCGCUGCCAGGCUCCUCUGGGAAGAGUGUUGUGGAACUCUACCUUCCUCCAGCUUUUAUUAAGCAUCAACUGCGUGGCAGUUACUGGGCGAAGAGAUCUUCAUGUUGACAAAGAAUGACCGAGAAAAUGAGUACUUCUUCCAAGAUCACAGAGCUUAUGCACUGACUAGGACCUCCU